ACACUAACAUUUCAUUUCCUUUCAUUUCCUUCCUUUGAAAACGUAAGAGCUGAAAAUGCACAGACUUAGGUAAGUGUUUUGUCACCAUUAGCGCGUUCACCGCCAACAUGGUCGCCUCACCGAGGUUGCUUGCUGGAAAUCAGAACUACUUCUUCGUAGUUGCUUAUUCACCGCCAUCUCAUCGUCGUUGAACUCUUUUUCCAGGCAACUUUUCAUUCCCUCUUUGUGAUCACCUUCCUCACCUCUUCGAGGUAGUUCUUUACUGUCUUGCUCGUCGUCGUUGGCACACUUCUCGUCAUGGUUGGGCUAAGAAAGCUCGCUCUGCCACUUCAAAGUCUUUUUCUUCUCAAAUCGCUUCCUCUCACAAUUGUGCUACUCUUCUCCUUCCAUUUUUUGAUAAAUGAAGGGACCAAUAUGAUGAUGAUGCAGGUGGUUCUAGUGGAGCUUAGCUGCGGAGAGGGGAUAGCUCGGGAAUCUUUUAUUUUAUUUUUUUAUGGUUUUGAGAUAAGUUGUAAACCUAUACGGGUGUUUGCUUUAUAACAUUCUGGUUUUGAGAAUUUAUGGA